rnacentral:rRNA from 1 species
CCUACGGGGGGCUGCAGUGAGGAAUAUUGGUCAAUGGACGAGAGUCUGAACCAGCCAAGUAGCGUGAAGGAUGACUGCCCUAUGGGUUGUAAACUUCUUUUAUAUGGGAAUAAAAUGUUCCACGUGUGGGAUUUUGUAUGUACCAUAUGAAUAAGGAUCGGCUAACUCCGUGCCAGCAGCCGCGGUAAUACGGAGGAUCCGAGCGUUAUCCGGAUUUAUUGGGUUUAAAGGGAGCGUAGGUGGAGUGUUAAGUCAGUUGUGAAAGUUUGCGGCUCAACCGUAAAAUUGCAGUUGAAACUGGCAGUCUUGAGUACAGUAGAGGUGGGCGGAAUUCGUGGUGUAGCGGUGAAAUGCUUAGAUAUCACGAAGAACUCCGAUUGCGAAGGCAGUUCACUGGACUGCAACUGACACUGAGGCUCGAAAGUGUGGGUAUCAAACAGGAUUAGAUACCCUUGUAGUC